rnacentral:misc_RNA from 1 species
GUGAGUCAUCGAAUCUUUGAACGCAUAUUGCGCUCUUUGGUAUUCCGAAGAGCAUGCUUGUUUGAGUAUCAGUAAACACCUCAAAGCUUUUGGAUUUUUUAAUCGAAAAGCUUUGGACUUGAGCAAUCCCAACACCAAUCUUUUUGAGAUCGGUGGCGGGUUGCUUGAAAUGCAGGUGCAGCUGGACAUUCUCCUGAGCUAAAAGCAUAUUCAUUUAGUCCCGUCAAACGGAUUAUUACUUUUGCUGCAGCUAACAUAAAGGGAGUUUGACCGUAUUGGCUGACUGAUGCAGGAUUUCACAAGGGUCGGCAACGAUUCUUGUUAAACUCGAUCUCAAAUCAAGUAAGACUACCCGCUGAACUUAAGCAUAUCAAUAAGCGGAGGA